rnacentral:rRNA from 1 species
GACGAACGCUGGCGGCGUGCUUAACACAUGCAAGUCGAACGGAAAGGCCCCUUCGGGGGUACUCGAGUGGCGCACGGGUGAGUAACACGUGAGUAACCUGCCCUUGACUUCGGGAUAACUUCAGGAAACUGGGGCUAAUACCGGAUAGGAAUCCUUGCUGCAUGGUGGGGGUUGGAAAGCUUCGGCGGUUUUGGAUGGACUCGCGGCUUAUCAGCUUGUUGGUGGGGUAGUGGCUUACCAAGGCUUUGACGGGUAGCCGGCCUGAGAGGGCGACCGGCCACAUUGGGACUGAGAUACGGCCCAGACUCCUACGGGAGGCAGCAGUGGGGAAUAUUGCACAAUGGGCGGAAGCCUGAUGCAGCAACGCCGCGGGCGGGAUGACGGCCUUCGGGUUGUAAACCGCUUUCAGCAGGGGCGAAGCUUGUGGUGACGGUACCUGCAGAAGAAGCACCGGCUAACUACGUG